AGAUUGAACGCUGGCGGAAUGCUUUACACAUGCAAGUCGAACGGCAGCACGGGGGCAACCCUGGUGGCGAGUGGCGAACGGGUGAGUAAUACAUCGGAACGUGCCCAGUCGUGGGGGAUAACUACGCGAAAGCGUAGCUAAUACCGCAUACGAUCUACGGAUGAAAGCGGGGAUCGCAAGACCUCGCGCGAUUGGAGCGGCCGAUGGCAGAUUAGGUAGUUGGUGGGGUGAAGGCUCACCAAGCCGUCGAUCUGUAGCUGGUCUGAGAGGACGACCAGCCACACUGGGACUGAGACAUGGCCCAGACUCCUACGGGAGCAGCAGUGGGGAAUUUGCGC
rnacentral:rRNA from 1 species